rnacentral:rRNA from 1 species
AUUGAACGCUGGCGGCAUGCUUUACACAUGCAAGUCGAACGGUAACAGGCCGCAAGGUGCUGACGAGUGGCGAACGGGUGAGUAAUGCAUCGGAACGUGCCCAGUCGUGGGGGAUAACGCAGCGAAAGCUGCGCUAAUACCGCAUACGAUCUAUGGAUGAAAGCGGGGGACCGUAAGGCCUCGCGCGAUUGGAGCGGCCGAUGUCAGAUUAGGUAGUUGGUGGGGUAAAGGCCUACCAAGCCGACGAUCUGUAGCUGGUCUGAGAGGACGACCAGCCACACUGGGACUGAGACACGGCCCAGACUCCUACGGGAGGCAGCAGUGGGGAAUUUUGGACAAUGGGCGCAAGCCUGAUCCAGCAAUGCCGCGUGCAGGAAGAAGGCCUUCGGGUUGUAAACUGCUUUUGUACGGAACGAAACGGCCUGGGUUAAUACCCUGGGCUAAUGACGGUACCGUAAGAAUAAGCACCGGCUAACUACGUGCCAGCCGCCGCGGUAAAAC